rnacentral:rRNA from 1 species
GAUGAAACGCUAGCGGCAGGCCUAAUACAUGCAAGUCGUACGGCAACACAGUUGCGAGCAAUCGCAACCGGUGGCGAGUGGCGCACGGGUGAGUAACGCGUAUGUAACCUACCCUUCUCCGGGACAUAACUCCGCGAAAGCGGUGCUAAUAUCCCAUACCAACUCAUCAAGACAUCUUCUUGAGUUGAAAGCAGCAAUGCGGUGAAGGAUGGGCAUGCGUCCCAUUAGCUGGUUGGUGAGGUAAUGGCCCACCAAGGCUACGAUGGGUAGGGGUUCUGAGAGGAAAGCCCCCCACACUGGUACUGAGACACGGACCAGACUCCUACGGGAGGCAGCAGUAAGGAAUAUUGGGCAAUGGUCGAAAGACUGACCCAGCCAUGCCGCGUGCAGGAUGAAGGCCCUAUGGGUUGUAAACUGCUUUUAGCCGGGAAUAAACACCCGUUUUAUAACGGGCCCGAAGGUACCGGCUGAAUAAGCAUCGGCUAACUCCGUG